CCUACGGGGGGCAGCAGUGGGGGAUAUUGCACAAUGGGGGGAACCCUGAUGCAGCGACGCCGCGUGGGUGAAGGAGUGCUUCGGCAUGUAAAGCCCUAUCGGCAGGGAAGAAGCAAGACGGUACCUGACUAAGAAGCCCCGGCUAACUACGUGCCAGCAGCCGCGGUAAUACGUAGGGGGCGAGCGUUAUCCGGAUUCACUGGGGGUAAAGGGAGCGUAGACGGCCAUGCAAGCCAGGGGUGAAAGCCCGGGGCCCAACCCCGGGACUGCCCUGGGAACUGUGCGGCUAGAGUGCGGGAGGGGCAGGCGGAAUUCCUGGUGUAGCGGUGAAAUGCGUAGAUAUCAGGAGGAACACCGGCGGCGAAGGCGGCCUGCUGGACUGCGACUGACGUUGAGGCUCGAAAGCGUGGGGAGCGAACAGGAUUAGAUACCCGAGUAGUC
rnacentral:rRNA from 1 species